AAUUCCCAGAGUAGCUGAGAGCAAUGAAUGUAUUUUUCAUAAUUUCAGUUAACAUGUUUUCAAUCAGUAUCUAUUAUAACAAUCAGUAGUAAUGUGAAACUAAAUAAUGUGGCCUAAUGAUGAAGUUCUUCCCCAUGUUCAGGAUUAGUGCAGGCUCUAUUGUUAAGGUGUAAAUGGUACAUAAACUUUGUACAAAGUUCUCGAUAUGGAGGAUUUUGAUCCUUACAAAACCAGAUUUUCUUUCUUUUGUACUCAAGUGGCUUGCUUGUUUGGUAAUCUGACUUCAGCCUGCAAGAUGCUUAGAUUAAACAUUGUAGGACGCAUUGUAAGAUACUUAUAGAUAUUUUUUACCAAAAAAAAAAAGCCUCCUAAACCCAGCAAUGCAAGUAUUUUGACUAAAACAAUGUAGAUUAUGGAGAACGGAGAAUUCAGAAGACAGACUACAGUUAAUGGUGACUCACAUACGCAUAGAUAAGGUGCACAUCCUUGUAUGUGUAUUUAAAAAUAUUGUCAACUGCCAGGAUUUGCAAAUGCAAUACUUUUUGUCUGUCUCCUCUUUCCCCGUCCCCCAGGCAGAGGAGAAAGUGGCAAGAGUAUGUUCAUUACACAAACGAGGAUUUCACGGAUCAGGUUACAGAGAAGAAGUCUGAAAAGUCUUCACAAAACUGGCUUUCCAAAACAUAUUCACUGCCAUGCAAGUGAUGAUCAGAGCCAUGAAUACUCUUUAAGAUACGGUACACAUCCAAAGAGAAUGAGGAACAAAAUACAAAGACUUGAUAAACAGCAAACUUCGUCUCAUUCUGGGCUCUGAGCUGAGCUGGAUACAUUCCCGUAACACACUAUUCUGGUUAAAUUGUGCUCUUGAUUGAUUGCUGUGCUGCCAAUGUCUUCAGAUUCAGAAGAUUAUAAUGCUAUUUUUCAGUUGUUGGAGAGAGGCAGAAUUUGGUCUUGUGCUUCUUUAUGAAUGUUAACAAACUGCUAAGUGAUAAGAAAAUCAUUUGGCAGGCUCAGUUUCAGUGGCAUUUAGAAAGCAAAGUUAUUUUUGUUUACACAGGGAGAAACUCUUGAGAGACAACGUGAAAAUAACCACGCAUUGCUCCAGUCACUUUGUAGGAGAAACUGCAUUUUAAUCUUUCAUUUAGGCAAUGGAUACAAUGCAAAGUACUAUAAAUCUUGUAAUUGCCUUUCAUUAAAAGAUUUGAAGCCUGUAAUGAAACAACAUGUUGACAACAGUGCAAAAACAGAAGGGUUGUGAUUCUGCUGUCAUAAUUGUAUUGCAAAGCUGUGUCCAGUGACCAUGCAGGAAUUGUCCAUCGUGCUCCUAUGCAUUUCAGUAUGUCCAUGUUCUCCAUGGCAUGCCUUCUUUUCCCUGAAAAAUGUGUUUCCUUCUGGCCCUUUUAGUAUGGUUUGUUUGUUUGUUUGUUUUUCUUGUAUGCAGUCUGUGCUUUGACCAGGUCAGGUUGUCUCCUCUGUGGGCCCUGGAAUUCUUUGGCUGCUGUAUAUCUUCAUGUAAUGUUUUUGUGGUGGAGAACAGAUUGUUCUGCACCAAGUGUCUCUUCCCUGUAAUGUGACGUGUAUGAAAAUCUGUAACUCAUAUAUCAACAGAAUGUUUGCAAAUAAAA
ensembl:lncRNA